GUAUUUUUUUAACAGUUUUGUUUAGAUUAAAAAAUAAUUUUUUGAUUUAACCUUUUUUCAAAUUAACAGGAUCCUAUAAAUCCAGCUGGGGUCCUGUAAGACAAAACCAUAAAUUGGGUCUGCUAAGAUGUCCUCCAUGAGAGUGGAAAAAUUAUAUUUCAAACUCCUGCAGGGUAUUCAUCACCUAGAAAUCGUUUCGAUUAAGAAUCCACCAAAAGGCAGCAUGUUUUCACUAAUUCUAAAAAACAAGGCGACUUACCUGUUCCGCAAGGUGAAGCCCUCCAGCGGUCCUCUUCGGAUCUGGGGUUUUCUGUGUCGGCGGAGUCGGCUCCUUUUAUUUCUGUAGCUUUGGCUUCAUUGCCCUUGGGCCUGGAUGAGGAUCCUGGAGUGGGUGAGGAUGUUAUUACUUUUUCCUCCCCAGUGAACCAGUUAACAUCUGUCGUGGGGGAUGGCCCUGGCAAGGGGAUUACAGUAAAAGUGUUCUGUUUUGGGUGCAGCCGGUGGGAGUGACCGAUUAAAUAAUAAGCGGACCAAAUUGACAACAAGGUGGUAUUAAACACAAAAUUUAAAAAAGGAA